ensembl:lncRNA
GUUAGAUGGGCCCUUGUCCAAAGCAGAUUGGAUCUCUUUUCAGCUGUUUCAGCAGAGAGGAUCAGAAAUGACAGAGGGAGAAGAAAUUGUUUCUCUCAAUUCAUCCAGUAUCUUUUCUGUCAUUCAAAGGGAUCCUUCUCCCAGAUCACUGAGACAGCUACCUCUGGAGAAACACUACUUCCAGGGCAAGACCUGGGUGAUAUUUCUUAUAAAGCAAGCUGGAAAAUCUUAUAUACAAUGACACCCAUGGCAGAGCUGAGGACUGAACCCAUUUCUCCAAGCUUUAGUUCAACAAAUGCCAUUGCCCAUUGGCUUCCACUGAAGUCAACAACCCUACAGUCCUCCAAGGAGGUGGGAGUCUCUCCGAGAAGAACAGCUUGCAAGAGGAGGGACCUGAUGAGCAAUAGAGAAUGAGCCAAACUAACAAACAAUUAAUUGCUACUAGCAAAAAAAAAAAAAAAAAAAAAAAAAAA